CCAGACUCCUACGGGAGGCAGCAGUGGGGAAUAUUGCGCAAUGGGCGCAAGCCUGAUGCAGCGACGCCGCGUGGGGGAUGACGGCCUUCGGGUUGUAAACUCCUUUCGCUAGGGACGAAGCUUUUUGUGACGGUACCUAGAUAAGAAGCACCGGCUAACUACGUGCCAGCAGCCGCGGUAAUACGUAGGGUGCGAGCGUUGUCCGGAAUUACUGGGCGUAAAGGGCUCGUAGGUGGUUUGUCGCGUCGUCUGUGAAAUUCCGGGGCUUAACUCCGGGCGUGCAGGCGAUACGGGCAUAACUUGAGUACUGUAGGGGUAACUGGAAUUCCUGGUGUAGCGGUGAAAUGCGCAGAUAUCAGGAGGAACACCGAUGGCGAAGGCAGGUUACUGGGCAGUUACUGACGCUGAGGAGCGAAAGCAUGGGUAGCGAACAGGAUUAGAUACCCUGGUAGUCCAUGCCGUAAACGGUGGGCGCUAGGUGUGAGGGUCUUUUCACGACUUUCGUGCCGUAGCUAACGCAUUAAGCGCCCCGCCUGGGGAGUACGGCCGCAAGGCUAAAACUCAAAGGAAUUGACGGGGGCCCGCACAAG
rnacentral:rRNA from 1 species